UUGACCUCGAAUCAGGUAGGAAUACCCGCUGAACUUAAGCAUAUCAAUAAGCGGAGGAAAAGAAACCAACCGGGAUACUCA
rnacentral:rRNA from 1 species